UCCUCCUCUUUCCCCACCUCCUCCCCCUCAGCCACCGCCUCCUUUUCCACCACCAACACCACUCCCUCCGGGGCACCCUGGUCCUUGCAGAGUCCCCAGCCGGCGCGGCCUCCGCUGCGAUCCCCUGGAUCCUGAACCUGCUGAGCCCAAGCUGGUGGGACAGAUGGACACAGUGACACAGAUUUCUUGUGCGUAGCUCUCCUCUGCUACUGCCCCCCGCGGCCCGGCGUCAGAGGACCUGGGAUCGCCCCGGGAGCACGCGAGGACCUCCUCGCUGUGGAACAGGCCAAUGCCUCAGCCUCCUGAGCCUCAGUUGUUUCUUCUGUAAAAUGGGAAUGACAACAUUCACACCAAUUCUUCUUCCUUCAAGAGAUGAUGCUGGAGAUCAAAUGAGGCAAAAGGUGGAAAAGUCAAUUAUAAAGCACUUUCAAAUACAAGCUGAUGGUGUGGCACACUUGGAAACAGUGAUCUUCCUGCUAUCUCCCCUGUAUGGCCUGCACCCCAUCAGGAAGACCCUUUGCCAGGCAGCUGUGUGAGGUUUACGAGUGCAGUGAGUGCAGGAGCGGUUGCUGGGGUGGCAGAAGAAACUCUGGGCCCGCUCACCACUUGUCAGCUGGAGGGGUCCUUCCAGAGCCCGAAGAUUCCCUCCCCAGAUUUUCUUUAUGAGACAGGCGGGCAAGCUGGCACUGGCACUGGUUGGGCAGCCCCAGGAGAUGGGGCUGGAGAGGCUCCAUCACUACUAUGGGUUCAGACCUCACCCUGAAACCCAUUAAACCCAUGUCUUGUAAGCCCUACAGGUGGUGUCAAGAGGCAUUUUUAGGGCACUGACGGGCUUCUCCAAAGGGAGAGGCUCUAGCUGGGUCUGUGCGCUACUCUGCAGGAAGAAGCAGUGUUUAGGGGCAGCAGGAUCUGGGGCAUCAGGAGAACCAGCGCCUCUGGUCCUCACGUGCUGUCCACCUUGGGCGAUCCCCUCUCUUCACUGGGCACAGCUGGCAGGAGAAAUUUGUAGAAGUGGACUUUCUGGAUGCAAAAGGCUUUUGCGACGAAGUUGACAAGUUGCCUUCAGAAAGCUUAUUCUCCCACCUCUGCUUUUAAAUACAUAUUUCUGCUUCACAUCUCCCCUUCUUCAAAGAACAUUAUACAACAGGCAUUUCUUAAGUUCUUCACCUCACUGGCAACAUUAUUUUAAUAGUAGCAUUCUGUCAGCCACCAACCCUCCUUGGAGCCUUCACAGUUCCUUCUGUUUCCUGGGAUAACCCCCAAAUUCCCAACUUCCAGACCAAGCAGCUUCAUUUGACAACGGGGAGCCUCCCCUGGGGGCUCCAGCUUCUAAGUUAAAAUAAAAUGGUUAACUCAGCCCAAUCCUGUUCACUCCGUGCAGCGGGAAGGUGGCCAGGAGGCACCAUGAAAUGGAAAUCAUUCUAAGAGUUUUCUGCCGUGUAUUUUUUCUACACGGUGGAGAAGAUUCAUUUGUGUUUUAAACAAAAACGCCCCCUUCUUGUCAUUUUCUCUCAGUCAAAAAGGUAUCAUCUUUUCCCCCAUCAGGUAUUUGCUUGGCAAGAAACUCCUCAUUCAGAAACCCUUCCAGCAAGGGGAUAAUUUUUUCUAAGGCAGCGAGUGACUACACACACAUCUGCAUUGACAAGUCACAACUUAUAGCCUUCUAUGGUGUUUCUGCGCUUUUGAAAAUGUUAAUAAAAACUUAAUGUGGAAAAAAAACAACUUUUUCCAAAUAUGUGUACCAAUAAGCCCAAGGCAACUCAUACUUUCUUAUAAAAUAAAGUAGGUCACUCACAUCAA